rnacentral:rRNA from 1 species
GAUGAACGCUAGCGGCAGGCCUAACACAUGCAAGUCGAGGGGUAUAGUUCUUCGGAACUAGAGACCGGCGCACGGGUGCGUAACGCGUAUGCAAUCUACCUUUUACAGGGGAAUAGCCCAGAGAAAUUUGGAUUAAUGCCCCAUAGUGUUAUAGAAUCGCAUGGUUUUAUAACUAAAGUUCCAACGGUAAAAGAUGAGCAUGCGUCCCAUUAGUUAGUUGGUAAGGUAACGGCUUACCAAGACAAUGAUGGGUAGGGGUCCUGAGAGGGAGAUCCCCCACACUGGUACUGAGACACGGACCAGACUCCUACGGGAGGCAGCAGUGAGGAAUAUUGGACAAUGGGCGCAAGCCUGAUCCAGCCAUGCCGCGUGCAGGAAGACGGUCCUAUGGAUUGUAAACUGCUUUUGUACAGGAAGAAACACUCCCUCGUGAGGGAGCUUUGACGGUACUGUAAGAAUAAGGAUCGGCUAACUCCGUGCCAGCAGCCG